GCCAUCCUCCACACUGGCAUCUCGUGGGUGCCAGGGCCUGUGCAUCUAGCUAGCCAGAGCCCUGGUCAGAGCUGAGGAGCAGAGCGGGAACAUGGCAGCUGCCUAGGAACAAACUGGAUCAGGCACUGUUUUCUAAAUAGCACUCCUACAGGCUGACCUGAGUCCUUGACUUUCAACCAUGGUGCCCCUGGUUUCCUUUCUGUCUCCAGCGUCGGUCCACCAAGCGGCAGAAGCAUUUGCAUUAAGAACUGAGGUCACCAAAGGCAAAACUCAAGGUGCAGCACGGAUUUCCUGUUCACACUUUCUUGGCACAUUCUGUGAGUGGACCACUUAGUGACCCAAGAUGCAGCAUGGGUUUCCUGUUUGUUCUCGAUACAUGUAGUGGUUGGACCUUUCAUCAGCCCAGGACUCAGCAUGAAUUUUCUGUCCACUCUUUCUUGGCACACCAGUGGCUAGACCUCCAAUCAGUUCUCUCUGCUUCCUGUUAUGCUCAGUACACCCAGCGUUUGGCCCACUGGUCAGAUCAGAUACAGAGAAUGUAUUUCCUGUUCUCCCCCUUUUGGUACAUCGGUGGGUGGAGCUCCCAGCAGCACAGGGCUCAGUAGCAAUCUCCUGUUCUCUUUCCCCUAGAACACCAAGUGGGUGGAUCUUGAUCCAGCUCUAGACGGAGGUCUUCCUCGUGCAGCAGGUGAUGAAAGGCAGACUAGCGAAGCAUUCUGGAAAGGCUCGGAAGACAGAAGCUGUUAGCUUGAAAUGGAAAGACUGAGGAGUAGCUGACAAGGAAGACCAUCUGGGAAGCCCUUCGCCUUGGUACAAAGGUCUCAUCACACAUGAAACAGUAUCUGUUGCCAUUGCCAGGAGAUACGCGACAAAUCAUCACGGAUUUAGCACACACCUUAAGGUUGCACUAAGUUACCAUCAUGCACCUCUGAGCACCGAGGUCUAGCUGUGAGUCCUGGGACAGAGGAAGCCUGGAGAAGAAUCCAGUUAUUGAAGGUUUGGGAGACUUUGCUACCUAGAGGAUUCCACUAUUGCUCUAGCUGUGGUUUGGUAUCUCAUAAAAAGUGUCUUCCAUCUCUUGAAUUGAGCUCAGCCUUUCUGUAUGAGGCAGAAAGAGCUCAAGAACGUCAGGUCCCACCAAAAAGGCAGCAUAUACCAGCUGAUAUGAGGCCUCCAACCACCAUGGCUUCACCAGGGUCAGGAGAAUACCCAGUGGAAGCCUUUAGCAUUCUUUAGCCUUAGUGCUCUGGAGCUGGACCUGGACCUGAGCUCUCCUCAGCAUCUUCCCCCCUCCCCAACAGCUCCCACCCUCCCAACCCUGCCUCCAUGCUGGGGUCUGCUCUCCUUAUCACCCCCUCCACCACCUCCAGGCUGGGGUCUGCUCCCCUCAGUGUCCCCCGCCCCUGCCUCCAUGCUGGGGUCUGCUCCCCUCAGCAUCACCCCAACCCCCACCUCCAUGCUGGAGUCUCCUCACCCCAGAACCCCGCCCCCUCUGCCCAUGUUGGGGUCUGUUCCUCAUGGUCUCUAAGGCAGCCUUCACUGCAGCCGCUCUUGCUGGCCGUCCUUCCUCCCAUGUUCUUACUUCAUAAACUCGGUCCUGAUAAA